rnacentral:rRNA from 1 species
AGCAGCCGCGGUAAUUCCAGCUCCAAUAGCGUAUAUUAAAGUUGUUGCAGUUAAAAGCUCGUAGUUGAAUUUCGGGAUCAAGGAAUCGGUCAUGCCUCGGUAUGUACUGGUUUUAUUGGUUCUCACCUUCUAAAGAACCAUGAUGUCAUUCAUUUGAUGUUAUGGGGAAUUAGGACUGUUACCUUGAAAAAAUUAGAGUGUUUAAAGCAGGCUUACGCUUGAAUACAUUAGCAUGGAAUAAUGAAAUAGGACAUCAGAUUCUAUUUUGUUGGUUUCUAGGAUCGAUGUAAUGAUUAAUAGGGAUAGUUGGGGGCAUUAGUAUUCAAUUGUCAGAGGUGAAAUUCUUGGAUUUAUUGAAGACUAACUACUGCGAAAGCAUUUGCCAAGGAUGUUUUCAUUAAUCAAGAACGAAAGUUAGGGGAUCGAAGACGAUCAGAUACCGUCGUAGUCUUAACCAUAAACUAUGCCGACUAGGGAUCGGAUGAUGUUUAUUUUUUAGUGACUCAUUCGGCACCUUACG